rnacentral:rRNA from 1 species
GUCUAUGGACAUACUGCCCUGAACAUGCCCCAUCCCAUUUGAUCUUGGAAGCUUAGCAGGGUUGGGCCUGGUUAGUACUUGCAUGAGAGACCAUCUAGGAAGACCAGGUGCUGUAGACA